rnacentral:rRNA from 1 species
ACGGAGGUUCCAAGCGUUGUUCGGAAUUACUGGGCGUAAAGGGAGCGCAGGCGGAUAGGUCAGUUUAAAGUGGAAUCCCAGGGCUCAACCCUGGACGUGCUUUGGAUACUGCCUGUCUUGAGUUCGUGAGAGGAAAGUGGAAUUCAGGGUGUAGCGGUGAAAUGCUUAGAUAUCCUGAGGAACACCAGUGGCGAAAGCGACUUUCUGGCACGAAACUGACGCUGAGGCUCGAAAGCAUGGGUAGCGAACGGGAUUAGAUACCCCGGUAGUCCAUGCCGUAAACGUUGUAUACUAGGUGCAGGAGGUAUCGACCCCUUCUGUGCCGAAGCUAACGCAUUAAGUAUACCGCCUGGGGAGUACGGUCGCAAGAUUA